GGUGUCCAGGGGCACCAGGGCAUGGCAGGGGACAGGGGCACACACGGGCACAGGGACAUGAACGGCAGCUGCAUCCCCGUGUCCCCGCAGGAGCUGCCUGGCUGCCCGGGACCCCUAUUGUGUCUGGCUGCCCUCCAGGGGCUGUGUCCCCUUCUCCAAGGACCUUCCGAGUGGCUUCCAGCAGGACAUGGAGGGAUCCCUCGGGAUCAGUGGGACCUGCCAAGGGGCUGCAGGGGACAGUGACAGUGACGAGGACAGGGACCUGGCUCACGGAGUGCGGCACCCCGGGCCGGGGGCCGAAGCGACGGUGCCGGUGCCGGUGCUGGUGGGCUGCGUGCUGGGCGCCUUCGCCCUGGGCGCCCUGGCCAGCGGGCUGGUGGCCACCUGCUGCCAGCGCCCCGCCGUCCCCAAGGCCCCCCCGGAGCCGCCCUGCGCCCCGCGGACCCCGGCCCAGCCGCCCGUGCCCCGCCUGUACCCCGCGCUGCCGCCGCAGAGCUCGGCCGGGGCUCUUCGGGACGACCCCGAGCCCGAGCCCCCCGCGUCGCCCUCCGCCCGGGCACCCCGGGACCGGGAGCCCCGGCGCGGCCCCGCCGCCGCCCUGGGCCCCGCGGAGCCCCCCGGGCCGGGUCCCCCGGGCAAGGCGGCCCGGGAGGAGAUGCUGCAGCGGCUGCACGGGGGCUCGGCGUGGCCCGGGACCCCCCCGGGCACCGGCUCCUUCGCCAACCGGGUGCUGCCGCGGGCCGCGGGUCCCGGGCCGCCCUUCGGCCCCCACGACCGAGCCCCGGUGCGCCUGGACGUGCCCCCCGACAGCCCCCCGGCGCCGCGGCGCCCGCUGGCACAGAGCCACUCGCUGGGGGGGACCCCCGUGAGCCCCCCCGGGCCGCCGCGGGGCCUCACCCGCAUGCACUCGCUGGGGACACCGGGGGCGACACCCUGGGGACCCCGGCCCGGCGCCCUGGAGCGUUCCCUGUCCAUGAAACCCCCCGUGCUCCCCAAGCCGCUGCUGCUGCCCGAGGCCCCGGGGCGGCCCUGAGACCCUCUGGGGACAUCCCAGCUGCAGCCGGAGGGACCCCGAGCUGUCACCUCCCCUGGGGUGCAGGGUCCCCACUGCCCCAGCUCUGUCGAGCCGUGAGGGUCCCCAUGUCACCGGGACAGGACUGCCCCCAGCAGGGUGAUGGGGGUCCCUGAGUCUCCCAGGGGACACCCCAGAGGUGACGGGGAUCCCCGUGUCCCCACACUGCAGUGACGAGGUCUCCGUGUCUCCCAUCCCCCUUGGUUUUGCUUUUUUAAAAAUUCUUUCUAAUUUAUUUUCUGUUCGGGGGGGAUGGGAGUUGCUGUCAGCCCACCUUGGGGACACCAGGGAGGGGGACGCAUGGCCCAGCCCAUCCUACUGUGUAGGAUCAGGGCUGGGCCAGGGCACUGUAAGAGUGGCGCAGGACUUUAAUAAAAAACACAGAACAAAAAUGAGAGUAAAUGUUGAAUUUUCUGCAUUCCAAA
rnacentral:lncRNA from 1 species